GAAGACCAAGUUCCUGAGGUGGUCAGUUCCUCUUCCUGUGGGGCUUUUAGUGCCUUCCUCUCUGGGAACACAAGGCCAACAAAGGCCACACCCUGCGUGUCUGUUCAUCAGACUGCCUGAACAACAGUAGUUAGAGAGAGAAGAUACCAUGGCUCUCACCCUUAUGGUCCUGUUCAGCCUCAGUGAGAUGUGAAAAGGGGAAAGAUUCACCUAAGUCAAGGAGAGUCCAAGACAGGACCUGGAGUGUGAGGAGAAUCCAAGGGCGCAGGAGCCUCUUGGUUGGAGGGGAGCUCCUCAGCUUUCAGGAUGAACUUCUCACAGGACAAUCUCUUUCAGGGCUGAGUCUGGGCUACAAGAAAGCAGUAUUGGCUGGUUCUUAUGCAAACAUACUGAUGUCAAGAUUGCAAGCGUGCUCAUGUUUGUGAAAUUCAUACCUACAAUCACCAAGUAAUGGCAGCAGCCUAAAUAGAUGUCAGCACAUGAACUUAUUAACAGAUAAAACUGGAGAGCAUUUCACCUCAAGACCCAUUUCCAUCAGUGCAGAGUGUCAACAAAGUGCAGAAUGCCUUUCUUUGUGCCUUCUCCUGUUGGGAGUUAAUAGCAAAAAGCCCUGUUAUUUUCAGCAGAACAUUUGAUCUGACCCAUCCAUUUCUAACUGAGUCACAUUAAGUAGGUGGAAAUCCAAAAACAAACCGUCAGAAAAUGAAAGAGUGAAAAUGGGCUUAUUGUACACAGCAAAUGAGGAGAGCAAGUGGUUUUUGAAGAAAGGAGGCAUAGGAUUUUAUGCAGGGAGCCCAUA